rnacentral:tRNA from 1 species
GCCAGUGUGGUGUAGUGGUUUGAGUGUUGGACUGUGACUCUAGAGACCAGGGUUCGAAUCUCGGCUCAGCCA